AUUGAACGCUGGCGGCAUGCCUUACACAUGCAAGUCGAACGGUAACGGGCCUUCGGGUGCCGACGAGUGGCGAACGGGUGAGUAAUACAUCGGAACGUGCCCGAUCGUGGGGGAUAACGGGGCGAAAGCUUUGCUAAUACCGCAUACGAUCUACGGAUGAAAGCAGGGGACCGCAAGGCCUUGCGCGGACGGAGCGGCCGAUGGCAGAUUAGGUAGUUGGUGGGAUAAAAGCUUACCAAGCCGACGAUCUGUAGCUGGUCUGAGAGGAUGAUCAGCCACACUGGGACUGAGACACGGCCCAGACUCCUACGGGAGGCAGCAGUGGGGAAUUUUGGACAAUGGGCGCAAGCCUGAUCCAGCCAUGCCGCGUGCAGGAUGAAGGCUUUCGGGUUGUAAACUGCUUUUGUACGGAACGAAAAGCCUUCUUUUAAUACAGGAGGGUCAUGACGGUACCGUAAGAAUAAGCACCGGCUAACUACGUG
rnacentral:rRNA from 1 species